rnacentral:lncRNA from 1 species
AACAAAAUAAAAAAACAAAAUCGGUAGUGGUUUUUCAUCUGAUAACUAAUCGUCUAGACUGAUAACAAUUCUUUAGCUGUUGUCAUUACUCUUUUCUAUCUUCAGUGUUAAUGACUUGUUGUUAGACGUAAUGAGUCAUUGGUUAGGACUCUUUGUCACUCCAAUGAAUUUCAACUUUCAGUACUUUUGGACCUAUUGUCAGAACUACUCCUCACCACUAGUCCUUGUUAGUCAUAACAACUCAUGGUCCUCACUUGUUUUCACUGGAACCUCAACUUGUCAAUUUUCAAGACUUUGUCACUUAUACUCAAAACGACUCUCAUUACGGAUCAUUAUCCCUCAUAAUGAGUUGUAUCCAGUCUUCUAUUUGCUCCUAAAGUCAGUCUUCCUCACUACUAUUAUAACGACUUGGACCACGAGUCAUUAGGUGAAUAAACAACUCAUGGUCUAGUCAACACUUUGCUUUUUUUGGAGUCUUUUCAUCCAUUUCUGAUCCAUGACACUUCCACCUAAUUUACCUGCAACAUAAAUAUAACACGCAUCAUAUCGGACAAAAUAGCACAAGUAAGUGCAUAUUUUCACCAUUUUAAGCAUCAAAGUGCCAUGAAAUCAUGUCACGACAAUAAUACCUAGUUAUUUCGGUUAUAAUAAAUGCAUGAAUUAGUCUCUCCAUUUACACAAUAAAUGUUAAUUUAAAACAUUUUAAAAUUGGCCAUAUAUUUAUAGGUCGUAGUUGAGGAGGAUUAAUUGGGUGGGUGAGGUUAAUAUUUGAUCAAUUAAAAUGGAUCAAGUUAGUAAAAAUGUAAUAACUCAAACCAUUAUACAACAUGAAUUAGGCUAAUUUGCAUCUAAAAAAAUGAGAUAUAACCUCACUAAGUUAAACAAAUUAAUUUACAUAUUCAUAUUUUCUUUCACAUUUUUAAGACAAA